AGAAUCAACGCUGGCGGCGUGCCUAACACAUGCAAGUCGCACGAGAAAGGGGAGCAAUCCCUGAGUAAAGUGGCGCACGGGUGAGUAACACGUGAAUUAUCUACCUCCGAGUGGGGAAUAACCAAAAGAAAUUUGGCUAAUACCGCAUAACACUUACGAGUCAAAGCAGCAAUGGCGCUUGGAGAGGAGUUCGCGGCAGAUUAGCUAGUUGGCGGGGUAAUGGCCCACCAAGGGCGAUGAUCUGUA
rnacentral:rRNA from 1 species